rnacentral:sRNA from 1 species
CCCUUCGCUUAUCAAUCCGCCUGGCGUUAGCCUAAGUUUGAACUGUGUUCUAUUCUUGAAGCUCGAGAAUGCCAGCGCAAUAUGACGUUAAUUUGACGGAAUGUUUAAUGACGUCACAAUACUGAAAUAUAAACAAUUCAAAGAACGUUAGCAUUGAAGAUCAUGGCAUCUGAGGUUUUUUCCGUUUUCAAUGAUGCUGUUUCUGGAAUCAAGAGAUUACUUGGAACAUCAGCAAAGGAAAAAUUUGCAUUUUGUUGCUUUUUUGGUUUAACAUUUGCGGUUAUAAAUGCUCAAAACAGGAUGGAUUUCGUGGACAAAUUUAUAGCUGGGAUUAUCUAUUUCUCCUGGGCCGUCUUCAUUCUGCCGACCUUGAAGUCCAAGCUGUCCGUGCAGUUAUUCUGGGACGUGGGUGUCAUCUUCCUGACCCUCUUUGCUGCGGACAUUAUGUACUUUGGAGUGUUCUUCCAUUUCAAGAAAGCAUGGUUCACAAACACUACCCACAAGUUCGUCGAGUACCAGUCGCUGAUAUUCUUUAUGAACGUUGUACGUAUUUCCGUGAUUAUUUUCUGCCUGGUGACUUCAAGCUCGGCUUUCAUGAAGAACAACUUCAAAUCUCUACCGUUUCAAGAUCGAAAGAAGGAAGAGCCAACGCCUCAUAAGAUGAAGUUAAGAAGUUCAUGUCAAGACGAUUAGAUGCAAGAGAAAUUAACGAUUUAUUUAUUUUCAGCUGAAAAAAAAAGAUUACAAUGUAUAUUGCUUUGGCAUUGUAAAUGAUAACAUUUUGUUGAAUUAACCUCGUAUGUGAUAAAAUCAUUUACUUAACAUAAUAUAGAAGUUCAUAUCCAUGUAUUAAAUGCACUGUCUGUAAAAAUUGUAUCAUAUCUUAAAAAUACAUUUCUUUUUACCUU